CCGUAUGAUUCUGGGUGGCUGAUGAUCACAGGGGACCCACCUUCUCUGUGAUGAGGCCAGGCAUGUGCCCUUGGAGUCAUGAACUGCUGCGAAAGAACUCUGGUGACCUUGAAUCUACCAAGUGGAGAGACUUCAUGGAGAGGCCCAUUUAGAGAGGAGAGGCUGAGCGCCAACAGCAGACAUCAAAUGCCUGACUAGCCAUUAGAUUUCAGUUCCCUGUCUUUGAGUCUUCCACCUGAUACCCAAGACAUCAGCAUAGAUAAGUCGUCUCUGUUGUGCUCUGUUUGAAUUCCUGUCCUGUAAAACCAUGAACAAAAUAAGUGAUUGUUUCUUGCCACUAAGCUUUGGGGGUAAUUUGUUAUGUGGUCAUAGUAACUGGAGCAACAAUGAAGAAAAAUAAAUUAAAACUAGCUACUCUACUAUAUGAUAGUUCCCAGACUCAUACACCAAGACUUUCCACAGGAAGACUCGUACUGGUCAUUUGUUGUCUUCGUUUCUGACUUUCUACCGUGCUGUAGCAAUAGUCUACCUCCCUCAAUUAGAAUGCCUUGAAGAGGUCCUGCCAGUUCUUCUUGAAGUUCAGGCCCAACUUCUCAGGGUCUCAGAAAGGAAAAACAACAUCCUAAAGAAUAUACACAUUCUGGAUAUUUGUCAUAUCACCAAUGAGUGCAUAGCCAUUGGCAUUUCAUGAGGAGCACGUAAGCACCUCAAUAUCUCACACCUUUCCAUGCCGUUAUGGGUUCUUUGCUUAUUUUUCUUUGCCAAAUUAUGUGUUGAAUUGUCUUGCCCUAAAACAAAGAUCCAAUCUUCUCUUAGAGGUGAAUCAAAUCCCGAAUAUCUAGGGAAUGAGAAAAGCUAUUUACUUCUUUAAAAAUGGCAUUUUUUUCUCAUGUCUCAAAAAUAUGAAGAUCAAAGUGCAAACAAAAGACCUGAUCAUUUCUAUUAUAUUCAAGAGGAUCAAUUCAGAAGAGGUCAAAGCAUCACCUUACUUUAAGACAGGUAGACUUUCUUUCAUGCUGUCAUUCUGAGGGUCCGUGACAGAGAGAGGUGGGAUGUGUUCAGACGAGACCCACCUCAUUCUAUAUUAAGAAAAAUCCCUCAAAGCUCUGAGUGCAACACUGUCCCAAAUUAAGAGGAAGUUGUGGUUUGCCUAGUAAUAAAUAAGAAGGAUGAAAUUCAGCAAGCGAUCCAUAUUCUUCAACUAAAUUACUCCUGAAGGGCAUUUGCCAUUGGCAAAGCUUUAAACUUAAAAUGUUUUCUGGCAAUUUUUCUUCAUUUUUUUAAGUAGUGGAUUGCCACCUUGUCAUUUGUUUCUUAGACCACUUUUCUUAAGUAGUUUCUAAUGCCACAGAAAAUAUUGUUUAAAUUGUUUGUCUUUGUUUAUAUUACUCUCAAAAACAGAAACCCAGGAGCAGUUAGAAGGAAAGAGAAAAACCUAUUUAUCUUAUCUGCUAUUGAAUCACUGGGUCAUCUGCUUUUGGCAAUAGUAAUACCAUCUGGUCAAUUAGAAAUGGGUUUAAUAAAUACCCUAUGUGACACCAGCUGCCUAUCCAUAUUUUCUCAAGGGACGAAUGCUAAGUGUUUCAGAACCUUCACAGGACUCAUUCAUGUACAUUCGCUGGAGUGAUGCCCAGUGACUUCCUGAUGCCUGUAGGGAAUCUGCGUGUUAGGGAGUUGAGGUACUGUCCUGAGGGGUUGACGGUGUUGCCCUGUUCUUCAGUAUUGGCUUCUCUCUCGGGCCCCUGCCAAAGAGGACCUUUUUGUAUGCCUUUUUUCCUUUUGCAGAGUGUGAGCCAUUUUGAUUAGGUAUGCAGCUCUGUUUCAGAGAGACCACUGCAACCCCUUGUUAAGAAAACUACUAUCAUUAAUAAAAAAAUAAUGAGAUUCUGACCAGUUCAAACACAGUAGUCCUUGCAAUAAGGGUGAGUUGUGACUUGCAUCACAAUAAAGACCAGCAUUGAAUGUACGUGCUGCAGAUAAGUUCUCACAAAAAUUCAGUACUUUUAAAUCUUAAAUUUCCGUUGUAUCAAUCUGCCUGUGCAUUUUAUUUAAUACCCCCAGAGCAUUUUGACAAGUGGAGGGUGCUGAUGGCAGUGGUGGUAAGGAGGAUAGUAGCAUCCUUUCUGUUCCCCGUCACGCUAGAUGUUUUUGACUAACCUGAAGAUCCUUGACAGACAAGUUUCAGAUUUUUGCAAAUGCAGAAGCUGUUUUAGCAGAUUAGCCAGAAUUAAUCAGCCCUGCAUGGGAAAUUUUUCUUAUUAAGAGGAAAAUCUCACCCAUUUUGGUCACUUGGAAAUAAACUUUUUCCCUUGUAGAAAAGUCUGUUGUAAUUCCUGGUCUUUACUUUUCUUGCUUUCCUCCCUCCCAUGUGGUCAUUUCUUACUCAGACUUCAAUAUGCCAUGUAUAGUCCUCGCUUCAUUUAUACCUUUCCUAAUUUCUCCAGAGGGUUGGUUGCUUCUUAGUAACUAACAGGUUCCCGUAGGAGGGACCGAUCUCCACUCUUAUGCUUAACACAGUGUAUUGUAAUUAUCUCUUUAUGUGUUUGUUUUUCUCAAUAAGUUUGGAUCUAAAUGUCAAGGACUAAUUUCUCAAUAAGUUUGAAUUCUAAAUGUCAAGACUUUUCCCCCUAAGUUUCUAUAGCUAGCGCCUAGCAUAGUGGUAAGUGCUUAUUACAUGUUUUUUUAUAUGAAAAAAGCCCUGCGGUGUAAAAGACUGUGCGAUUAUUUGCCUCCUGACACAGAAGUUUCUCCUAUGAGCAUAUAUCUUUUACAGUAAAUUUACAUGACCAACUGUGACUCAUUUCAGUUUUUUUCUCAGUAUGAUUAGAAUUUUUUUUCCUAUGUGCAUUGUUGUAUCUUAUCCAAAUCUAAUUAACCCUCUGCACAGUUAACAUUAAUAUCAAAAUGAGUAAUUAGGACGUUUACUAAUGAUGUUGAAUGAUCCAACAGUCACCCCUCCUUUACUUUUGUUUCUAAUGGACCUACCUGUAUUUAUCAUAUAAAUACUGUAAAUACUGUAAACCCCAUCAAGAGGAGGAUACUGUAAGAGGAGUAUCCUCAAGAAUAUUCUAUAUUCUUGACCCGGAAGGCUAGGCUGCAUGUUUUUUUGGACAUUGCAUAGUACAUUAUGCUAUCCUCAGUACUGCAGACACAAAGUGCUGAUCUUUUCAAGAAAUAAUGCAGCAUAUUUUGUCAUCUGGCAACUAGGCAUUUCGUUAAAUUCUGUAGAAAACCCUUCAGUAAUCAGAUGUUUAAAAGAAUUCAGGUUUAUGUAAAAGAUUGUCAUUUUUCACCUCGUAUUCUUUCUCUGUUGCUCCAAAUAUUGAGCUAAAAUGCAGAAUAAUGUAAUUGAAAAAAA